rnacentral:rRNA from 1 species
AAAACAACUCUCGGCAACGGAUAUCUUGGCUCACGCAUCGAUGAAGAACGUAGCAAAAUGCGAUACUUGGUGUGAAUUGCAGAAUCCCGUGAACCAUCGAGUUUUUGAACGCAAGUUGCGCCCGAGGCCACUUGGCUGAGGGCACGUCUGCCUGGGUGUCACGCA